rnacentral:lncRNA from 1 species
AAGGUUAGAGAGAAGAACAAUUACGCUUAAGGAAUUAACAUCAAGCAAGCCAUGGAUCAAGGUAUGUUUCAUAUAUUAUAUUUGUGUUACUGAAUCUAGAAUCCUAAUAAAAUUGUGUUGAUUUAAUUCGUAAUUGUGAUAUUGUGGCUAAUUAUAGAUAUUUCUUAUAAUUUUAAAAACAUGUUAAGGAUUAGAUUAAGGGUAUAAUUUAAUCUAACACAAACUGCACACCUUGGCAGAUGAUGGAGCAAUUAUCGUGGAUCCAAAAGCGAUCCUGGAUACAAGAUGGGUCAAGAAAGGAUCAAGCUUUGUAGAGGAAAAUCUUGUCAAAUAGAAGAGACUAGCUGCAGAAGACGUCACUUAGGAAAAUGCACGAGAAUUUAAGCACAAUUUUUUUAAUGUGAACCUUCAAGAAAAAGGGGGAGGUAUUGAUAAGCCAAGAAGAUGUACCCAUCAAGAAUCCCAAGUUCAUUGAUUAAUCUUGCUUAAGCCAUACAUGAACACAGUCCAUGUGAACAGUAAUCUUGUUUGAGCCACAUGAACAAUUGUUGUUGUUUUUUUCAAUAAUAAUAGGUCAAGUUGUUAGCUAGUAAUUUGCAUUCUGCUAUUUGAAUAAUUGUUGGCUAAUUUGUUGCCACUAGUUGUUGAGGUCCUUCAGUUAAGAGUUAUCCGCUCCAAAAUAGGAAAAGUUGUUGAGUUAUUUUUUGUAUUUAAACUCGGUCAAUUGACCAUAGCAAAUUAUUAAAUUAAUUAAAAAAAGAUAUCAAA